ensembl:lncRNA
GGAGAACCCCACCCGCCACUGGGUUGUACUGGCACUACCUUUCCUGCCUGGGACUGUGGUCCUGCAGAUGGAGGAUAUGGGCUGUUCCCGGUGCCAUGGAUCCCUGUGAUGCACUCAGAUAUGGGAUUGGACUCUCCACUGCUAGGUGGAGGAGGUAUGAGGCUGAAGGUGGAGGACCCUCCUGCUUUGGGUUCCUGAAGUUUGGAAGAAGUGCAAUUAGAAUGAACUAACACAAAGGAAGAUGCAAUAACAGAGACGAAGGCUUUGCUGAUGGCGUUUCCAGAGGUGUAAAGCGUAGCAGAGGUCGCCUCCAGCCUGGAUUUCCUCACCCCUUCCUCUGGGUCCGAUCUCAUAACGGGAGGAACUGCGGAAUGGAGGCACGCGGUGCUGCGCUGGGUGCCAAGGCCAUGAUGGAUGGAUGGGCCUCAUAAAAACGUGCAAAUGUGCAAAGCGGGAGCCGGCUUAACCAAAUAACCACUGCGUUUAGAGGAGAAAAAAGGAGUGUUUACUCUCACGUAUGGAAAUGAAAUCACUUCUCCGUGUGCGUUGGCGACAGCACUGUGUUUUUGUGUUACCCAAGAACUGGAGUUACUCAUUCACCUCUGGUGUCCUCGCAAGCGGAGGUUAAUGGCUGCAAGGAGGAUCACGGACAGCUGCUAAGUGCUGGUAAAACAAACAUCACAUGUUCCGUGGGGCUCCUACAAGGUUUGCAAUCAGGCGCUCUCUAAUAACUGCUUAAAUACUCUCAUCAAGCUUGUCCUUGCUGUUUGCUUUAGGACACGGUGCUUUUUUUUUCC